UCAUUUGCCGUGGCUCAGUGGUUAGAGCACCAGACUUGCAUGCAGAAGGUCCCAGGUUCAAUCCCGGCGAAUAAU